UACGAGGAGGCCGAGCGUUGUUCGGAUUCAUUGGGCGUAAAGGGUGCGUAGGCGGCGGGGUAAGUUUGAUGUGAAAUCCCGGGGCUCAACCCUGGAAUUGCAUUGAAUACUACCUUGCUAGAGUACCGGAGAGGAAACUGGAAUUUACGGUGUAGCAGUGAAAUGCGUAGAGAUCGUAAGGAAGACCAGUGGCGAAGGCGAGUUUCUGGACGGUAACUGACGCUGAGGCACGAAGGCCAGGGGAGCAAACGGG
rnacentral:rRNA from 1 species